AGGAAUCUGCCUAUUAGUGGGGGACAACGUUUCGAAAGGAACGCUAAUACCGCAUACGUCCUACGGGAGAAAGCAGGGGACCUUCGGGCCUUGCGCUAAUAGAUGAGCCUAGGUCGGAUUAGCUAGUUGGUGAGGUAAUGGCUCACCAAGGCGACGAUCCGUAACUGGUCUGAGAGGAUGAUCAGUCACAUUGGAACUGAGACACGGUCCAGACUCCUACGGGAGGCAGCAGUGGGGAAUAUUGGACAAUGGGCGAAAGCCUGAUCCAGCCAUGCCGCGUGUGUGAAGAAGGUCUUCGGAUUGUAAAGCACUUUAAGUUGGGAGGAAGGGUUGUAGAUUAAUACUCUGCAAUUUUGACGUUACCGACAGAAUAAGCACCGGCUAACUCUGUGCCAGCAGCCGCGGUAAUACAGAGGGUGCAAGCGUUAAUCGGAAUUACUGGGCGUAAAGCGCGCGUAGGUGGUUUGUUAAGUUGGAUGUGAAAGCCCCGGGCUCAACCUGGGAACUGCAUCCAAAACUGGCAAGCUAGAGUACGGUAGAGGGUGGUGGAAUUUCCUGU
rnacentral:rRNA from 1 species